rnacentral:rRNA from 1 species
UACGAAGGGGGCUAGCGUUGUUCGGAUUUACUGGGCGUAAAGCGCACGUAGGCGGAUCGUUAAGUCGGGGGUGAAAUCCUGGAGCUCAACUCCAGAACUGCCUUCGAUACUGGCGAUCGUUGAGUCCGGAAGAGGUGAGUGGAACUCCUAGUGUAGAGGUGGAAUUCGUAGAUAUUAGGAAGAACACCAGUGGCGGAAGG